CCAAUGCUGAAUGACAGCACCAUGCUAUAUGCAAUCUGCUACCUCAUCUGGAUUUUUGCACUGCUGCAAGGAAUUCUGGCCUCGUACGUGGAGCAGUCUCCAAAUAUCAUUUCGAUUUCAAGAGGAGACUCGCCUGAACUCAGAUGCAUGCUGAAGGAUACAGCUUAUAGCAACAUGUACUGGUAUAGACAGCAACCAGGCAGGGAAAUAGAAGCUUUAUUCCACUCUGCUGGAAAAGGGUUUGUUACAAAUUACACAUCGGAGCCUUACCAGGCUAAACGACACAGUGAAACGCUGUUAACUUUAGAGCUGAGAGGCACCUCUGCACCUCACACAGCUGUCUAUUUCUGUGCUUGUAGUAGUGCACAGCGUUUGAUGAAGUAUCCUUGCAGUUACAAAAACCUGCGUCCGAUCACAUUGACAACGUCCAUUACCCAUUCUCCACCAGAAGGUGUGGUCAGAUAA